rnacentral:rRNA from 1 species
UACGUAGGGGGCAAGCGUUAUCCGGAUUUACUGGGUGUAAAGGGAGCGCAGGCGGUCUGUUAAGUCAGCGGUCAAAGCCCGGGGCUCAACCCCGGCGAGCCGUUGAAACUGGCUGUCUUGAGAUGUCGAGAGGUAUGCGGAAUGCGCAGUGUAGCGGUGAAAUGCGUAGAUAUCGAGAGGAACACUCGUGGCGAAGGCGGGUUCCUGGACAUUAACUGACGCUGAGGCACGAAGGCCAGGGGAGCGAAAGGG